CCUACGGGUGGCAGCAGUGAGGAAUAUUGGUCAAUGGGCGCGAGCCUGAACCAGCCAAGUAGCGUGAAGGAUGACUGCCCUACGGGUUGUAAACUUCUUUUAUAAAGGAAUAAAGUGAGGCACGUGUGCCUUUUUGUAUGUACUUUAUGAAUAAGGAUCGGCUAACUCCGUGCCAGCAGCCGCGGUAAUACGGAGGAUCCGAGCGUUAUCCGGAUUUAUUGGGUUUAAAGGGAGCGUAGAUGGGUUGUUAAGUCAGUUGUGAAAUUUUGGGGCUUAACCGUAAAAUUGCAACUGAUACUGGCAGUCUUGAGUGUAGAUGAGGUAGGCGGAAUUCGUGGUGUAGCGGUGAAAUGCUUAGAUAUCACGAAGAACUCCGAUUGCGAAGGCAGCUUACUAAUCUGCCACUGACAUUGAGGCUCGAAAGUGUGGGUAUCAAACAGGAUUAGAUACCCCAGUAGUC
rnacentral:rRNA from 1 species